rnacentral:lncRNA from 1 species
GCAAGCACUUUGGUUUUUACUCUGAAUAGAAAUAGGACCCAGGAAAGGGUUUUGAACAGAUGAUUGACUUCUGCCUUUGGUGCUCUUCUCAUCUCACCUUAAGUGUUCUCGUGGGUUGACCUCAACUGAUCCCACAGCUUCCAUUUCUAAUGCAUUAAGCACGAAAAGUUCUCAUUCUCCAGCCUCUCCCUCUCUCCUGGUCUCUAAACCCAACAUUUUCAACCCUCACUGUAACUCCAAAUGCAGUGUGCACAAAAUAAGACUGCUACACCAACAAAUCAAAAUGUGUGUACUCCCAGUUAUUUAUCUGUUCCUAUUUUGGUUAAAGACAUCCUUCAUCAUC